GGGGAUUUAGCUCAGUGGGACAGUGCCUGCCUGGCAACCAGGAGGUCCUGAGUUCAAUCCCCG
rnacentral:tRNA from 1 species